ensembl:lncRNA
GCCUUCAUCUUGUAACAGCAGAAAAGUCGAAGUUGACGUUAAUUCCAAACCUCAUCACACGUCGCUCGUGGACGGACGGAUAUGUUACUCGUGUACGGACGGAUAUGUUACUCGUGUACGGACGGAUAUGUUACUCGUGGACGGACGGAUAUGAGUUCGCCGAUGCUAGGCCUGGCUUUGUUGGUCCUCGAAGCUGCUUUCUUCUUGCGCUUUGGCCGACGCGGUGGCAGGUGCGGGAGCGACAUCUGCCAUCUCUCUAGGAGCUAUACAUAGAACUAACGAGUCAAACGCUGUGCAGUGUAACUCAGGAACCUCCCUCCCCGAGGCCGGGGGCUGGUCUCUCUCUCUCUCUCUCUCUCUCUCUCUCUCUCUCUGCGCGAAUCUGGCGGAGGAGUGAGCGUGGCGUGUUGAGCGAGUUUGAGAGUUUGACUCUCCGGCACGGUGUGUGACACCGGUCGAAGCGCUGUGUGGAGUCGGAGGCGGUCAUUUGUGGGUGGAGCACAGAAGAACUCCGCGGAUUUUUUCCGCGGAAGACUACAUAAGUGUCGUCUCUUUUCUCUGGUGCUCAGUACCCUGCUGAAGGACUGGUGAACUGUCGGACCUGGAAAGUGACAACGACGCUGGAAGCAAAAUACUUCGACACUGCCGAAGAAAGCACCCGUCGGGAUUCUACUAGCGAGGUGCCUUGAUUUACUUCAAUCAUUUCGGCUUCGGUGAAUCUUCCACCAGAAUUUCCUCUCCAAAACAAUAGAGUGCUACAGUGGUAAGAAAGUCUGAGAUUGAGGAACAAGACACAACAAUGGAGCAUUCCCACCUCACUGAGAUGGAGAGUCAGGAGGCCCUGAUACAAGCACUGGCAAAUCACCAACAGAUGCUGCAGAGCUUAAUGCAGCAACUGGAACCAUAUCGCAAGAAAGCCGUCUUGCAGGGGUCGGAGCAACAUCGCCAGAGGUUUCGCUCCUUGACCCUCAGUGAAUUUGACAAUCCUUUUGCAUUUGCUCAGCAGCUCCAGGUCAACUGUCAAAAGUGGUUGCUUGCUGAGGAUUGUGACCCUCGAAGGAUCGUGGAGCUUCUGGUAAUAGAGCAGUUCAUGAAACAGCUUCCAGAAGGGACUUCCGAUUGGGUUAAACAUCGCCAACCAGCAACAAUAAACGAGGCCAUCCAGUUGGCAGUGAACCACCUGCCACCUUUUGCUGUCUCUCCCCCUUAACAUCUCCCCUGCCUGAUACAUUGGAUAAGGUAGAGAGGGUGAAGUUGAGGUGUGUCAUGGGAUCUUUCACAAACAUCCACUGGUGCUGAUCAUGAUCACUUUCUGGGGACAAAACCAGGUCCGGUCUGUGGUUAGUCCUCGUUUGAACCAUCCACUGUUUUUGGAUUUUGUCAGUAUGAUCAAUAAACAAUCUUUUUCAAUGGUCAAUAAUCUGUAAUUGGCUAUGCUUUUCAUUAGUGUGGGGUUUUUCAUUUUUGUGGUUAAGGAAAGUGGUCUGUCUUUUGGGCUCUUCUCCUCCUCAUUCAAUUCUAAAGCUCUGCUGACCUGCUCCCAAGAGAAACCCUAAACUAUGUAGACAUGAUCAUAGAUGAGUUUAAUGUCAUAUGAUGACAGUCUGCCAUUCACAUGUGGAUUCAUGUUCAGUGUUAAAGAUGACCUUUCAGUCCUGAUUCAGGAGUUGUAUGCAGCUGAGUAGUACAGGUCUCCUACGCUGCACCCAGAUCCUGUUUGGAUUAUUUUAUAUUAUAAAUGUUCUUUGUCACACUGUUCUUCUGUUUCUGUUUGCCUAUUUUACAAAUAUGAUUUGAUAUCUGUUCAGUGUUACUUCAAAUAAAUAUGUUUAAAUAGCUUUAAUGCUUGUGCAUUGUGUUAUAUUUUUAUACUAGUAACUGGUGUUAAACAUUGGUCUUACCAUCAAUAAGCCGGUGUGUUAUGAUGU